rnacentral:misc_RNA from 1 species
CAGAUUCUGUGUUCUCAAAUUCAAUCAAACGCUUUGUCAGUGUUGCUUCGCAAAUGUGCACCACUUUGAUAAUUUCUGAUUUAGAACAACUCAGUCCAUGUGAAAGAGAAGCAAUGUAUAGUGCAGCUCCACAUAAUCCACUUGGCUUUCUCCCUGUCUGCAUCCAAUCUCGCUUCAUGCUAGCCAAAAUGUGAAGAGCAGAUCUAGAAAUGUUUGGCUUCCUUCCCCCAAAUAAACGAUCAGUGAAUCGAUGAAUGAACAGGCUAGGAUCCACAGGUUUUUGAACAAUUGGGUGGUCUUCAAGGUGUAGGAUCUUGCAAAGCUGUAAGAAUACAGCUCCUAAUACGUACACAUUUAUCCUCAAGUACUCGGAAAAGUCAAUGAGUAGGAAUGGCUUUUUG